rnacentral:rRNA from 1 species
GAUGAACGCUGGCGGCGUGCCUAAUACAUGCAAGUCGAGCGAACAGACGAGGAGCUUGCUCCUCUGACGUUAGCGGCGGACGGGUGAGUAACACGUGGAUAACCUACCUAUAAGACUGGGAUAACUUCGGGAAACCGGAGCUAAUACCGGAUAAUAUAUUGAACCGCAUGGUUCAAUAGUGAAAGACGGUUUUGCUGUCACUUAUAGAUGGAUCCGCGCCGCAUUAGCUAGUUGGUAAGGUAACGGCUUACCAAGGCGACGAUGCGUAGCCGACCUGAGAGGGUGAUCGUCCACACUGGAACUGAGACACGGUCCAGACUCCUACGGGAGGCAGCAGUAGGGAAUCUUCCGCAAAGGGCGAAAGCCUGACGGAGCAACGCCGCGUGAGUGAUGAAGGUCUUCGGAUCGUAAAACUCUGUCAUUAGGGAAGAACAAAUGUGUAAGUAACUAUGCACGUCUUGACGGUACCUAAUCAGAAAGCCACGGCUAACUACGUG